UACGGAGGGUGCAAGCGUUGUCCGGAAUUAUUGGGCGUAAAGGGCUCGUAGGCGGUUCGUCACGUCGGGAGUGAAAACUCGGAGCUUAACUCCGAGCCUGCUUCCGAUACGGGCAGACUAGAGGUAGGCAGGGGAGAGCGGAACUCCUGGUGUAGCGGUGGAAUGCGCAGAUAUCAGGAAGAACACCGGUGGCGAAGGCGGCUCUCUGGGCUGGUACUGACGCUGAGGAGCGAAAGCGUGGGUAGCGAACAGG
rnacentral:rRNA from 1 species